CCCUCGUGUAGUAAUUUAUUUCUUCAGUUCUUCUUCCCCAACGAGAGAGAUAUACACUGCAACAAAAAUUAGGGUUUCUGAUUCAGCGUAUCAAAACCCUAACCCCCAAAUCACCCGCAAUCUUCAAUCGCUCUCUCUCUCUCUCUCUCGCUUCUCGCGUACAAUCAGCUAUUGAUCUGAAUUACUUAUUGUGAUGAUCACAUCAGAUUUACACGAUAUUUUAAUCACUCGCACACUCUAGUUUCGACUCUGCGCACCACUGUCCAAUUCUUCCCAAUCAAACACUCGAAGAAUCGAGUGAUCUUUAUACACACAUCAAAUAUAGAGUCAAUAAAUUAUGGACGUUGAAGGGAAUAAGCGCGUAUUCCAGCGGCUCGGACCUUCGAAUGAUAACAGAAAUCAGAAGGUUUGUUAUCAUUGGCGGGCGGGAAAAUGCGAUCGAUUCCCAUGCCCAUACUUGCACAGAGAGUUACCGCGGCCGCAAAAUGGCACGGCAUCGUCGAAACGGCCUCAUGGCUUCGCUGAUGAUCAGCCAAUGGUCCGUCGAAAUCCCAAUAAUUUUGGUAAUUCUUCAAGUUGGGGACGAGCUCAUGGUGGUGGUGUUGCCGGUAAGAUUGUCAAAACUGAAAAAGUUUGUAAUUACUGGGUCCAAGGGAGUUGUAGUUAUGGGGAUAAAUGUAGAUACUUGCAUUCGUGGUGUACCGGCGAUUGCUUUUCACUAUUGACCCAGCUUGAGGGACACCAGAAGGUUGUUACCGGGAUCACUAUGCCAUCUGGAUCAGAUAAGCUUUAUACAGGGAGCAAGGACGAGACUGUGAGGGUUUGGGACUGCCAAUCUGGGCAGUGUGCAGGGGUGAUUAAUUUGGGUGGUGAAGUAGGUUGCAUGCUCAGUGAAGGCCCAUGGGUAUUUGUUGGUAUACCAAAUGUUGUCAAGGCAUGGAAUAUCCAAACGGCUACUGACCUGAGUCUUACUGGACCUAUUGGACAAGUCUAUGCCCUGGUUGUGGGAAAUGAUUUGCUCUUUGCGGGCACACAGUAUUUCACAAGUUGGCGUUGCAUCUCCAUGUAGGCUUUGUUGGAAUCAAAAUUUUGGCUGUGUAACUUGGAACCUGCUUAGGAAAGCCCUUGCAUGGAUGGCACAAUAUUGGCAUGGAGAUUUAAUGCAGCUGCUAACACCUUUGAACCAGCUGCAACCCUUAAGAGUCACAAUCUUGCUGUUGUCACAUUAGUUGUUGGAGCUAAUAUGCUAUACUCUGGUUCCAUGGAUCA